GAUGAACGCUGGCGGCGUGCCUAAUACAUGCAAGUCGAGCGAACAGACGAGGAGCUUGCUCCUCUGACGUUAGCGGCGGACGGGUGAGUAACACGUGGAUAACCUACCUAUAAGACUGGGAUAACUUCGGGAAACCGGAGCUAAUACCGGAUAAUAUAUUGAACCGCAUGGUUCAAUAGUGAAAGACGGUUUUGCUGUCACUUAUAGAUGGAUCCGCGCCGCAUUAGCUAGUUGGUAAGGUAACGGCUUACCAAGGCAACGAUGCGUAGCCGACCUGAGAGGGUGAUCGGCCACACUGGAACUGAGACACGGCCCAGACUCCUACGGGAGGCAGCAGUAGGGAAUCUUCCGCAAUGGGCGAAAGCCUGACGGAGCAACGCCGCGUGAGUGAUGAAGGUCUUCGGAUCGUAAAACUCUGUUAUUAGAGAAGAACAAAUGUGUAAGUAACUAUGCACGUCUUGACGGUACCUAAUCAGAAAGCCACGGCUAACUACGUG
rnacentral:rRNA from 1 species